rnacentral:rRNA from 1 species
UACAGAGGUCUCAAGCGUUGUUCGGUGUCACUGGGCUUAAAGGGUGCGUAGGUGGUUGCGUAAGUAAGGUGUGAAAUCCCUCGGCUUACCCGGGGAAUUGCAUUUUAUACUGCGUGGCUUGAGGACUAAAGGGGAAAAGGGAACUCCAGGUGUAGCGGUGGAAAUGCGCAGAUAUCUGGGGGAAGGCCGGCGGCGAAGGCGCUUUUCUGGUUAGUACCUGACACUGAGGCACGAAAGCGUGGGGAGCAAACAGG